rnacentral:rRNA from 1 species
UACGUAGGGGGCGAGCGUUGUCCGGAAUCAUUGGGCGUAAAGAGCGUGUAGGCGGCUUGGCAAGUCUUGCGUGAAAUCCUGCGGCUCAACCGCAGGCGGUCGCAGGAAACUGCCUCGCUAGAGUCCGGAAAGAGGGAGAGCGGAAAUUUCCCUGGUGUAGCGGGUGGGAAAUGCGCAGAUAUCAGGGAAAGAAACACCCGUGGGCGAAAGGGCGGGCUCUCUGGGACGGGUACUGACGCUGAGACGCGAAAAGCGUGGGGAGCGAAACAGGG